UACGAAGGGGGCUAGCGUUGCUCGGAAUCACUGGGCGUAAAGGGUGCGUAGGCGGCUUUCUAAGUCGGGGGUGAAAUCCUGGAGCUCAACUCCAGAACUGCCUUCGAUACUGGAGAGCUCGAGUCCGGGAGAGGUGAGUGGAACUGCGAGUGUAGAGGUGAAAUUCGUAGAUAUUCGCAAGAACACCAGUGGCGAAGGCGGCUCACUGGCCCGGUACUGACGCUGAGGUGCGAAAGCGUGGGGAGCAAACAGG
rnacentral:rRNA from 1 species